UACGGGGGGGGCAAGCGUUGUUCGGAAUUACUGGGCGUAAAGGGCUCGUAGGUGGCCAACUAAGUCAGACGUGAAAUCCCUCAGCUUAACUGGGGAACUGCGUCUGAUACUGGAUGGCUUGAGAUUGGGAGAGGGAUGCGGAAUUCCAGGUGUAGCGGUGAAAUGCGUAGAUAUCUGGAGGAACACCGGUGGCGAAGGCGGUUCUCUGGGCCUUACCUGACGCUGAGGAGCGAAAGCGUGGGGAGCGAACAGG
rnacentral:rRNA from 1 species